UCAAGACGUAGCUAAAACCAAAAGCAUUCAGCUUACACCUGAAAGAUAUCUGUCACCCAUCAGGUCGUCUUGAA
rnacentral:tRNA from 1 species